rnacentral:rRNA from 1 species
GCCAGACUCCUACGGGAGGCAGCAGUGGGGGAUAUUGCACAAUGGGGGGAACCCUGAUGCAGCGACGCCGCGUGGGUGAAGGAGCGUUUCGGCGCGUAAAGCCCUAUCGGCAGGGAAGAAGGAGGACGGUACCUGACUAAGAAGCCCCGGCUAACUACGUGCCAGCAGCCGCGGUAAUACGUAGGGGGCAAGCGUUAUCCGGAUUUACUGGGUGUAAAGGGGGCGCAGACGGCAGCGCAAGCCAGGAGUGAAAGCCCGGGGCCCAACCCCGGGACUGCUCUUGGAACUGCGCGGCUGGAGUGCAGGAGGGGCAGGCGGAAUUCCUGGUGUAGCGGUGAAAUGCGUAGAUAUCAGGAGGAACACCGGUGGCGAAGGCGGCCUGCUGGACCGUGACUGACGUUGAGGCUCGAGAGCGUGGGGAGCAAACAGGAUUAGAUACCCGAGUACC